GAUGAACGCUGGCGGCGUGCUUAACACAUGCAAGUCGAACGGAAAGGCUCCUGCUUGCAGGGGUACUCGAGUGGCGAACGGGUGAGUAACACGUGGGUGAUCUGCCCUGCACUUCGGGAUAAGCCUGGGAAACUGGGUCUAAUACCGGAUAGGACCACAUUUUGGAUGGUGUGGUGGAAAGUUUUUCGGUGUGGGAUGAGCUCGCGGCCUAUCAGCUUGUUGGUGGGGUAAUGGCCUACCAAGGCGUCGACGGGUAGCCGGCCUGAGAGGGUGUACGGCCACAUUGGGACUGAGAUACGGCCCAGACUCCUACGGGAGGCAGCAGUGGGGAAUAUUGCACAAUGGGCGCAAGCCUGAUGCAGCGACGCCGCGUGGGGGAUGAAGGCCUUCGGGUUGUAAACUCCUUUCGCUAGGGACGAAGCGCAAGUGACGGUACCUGGAGAAGAAGCACCGGCUAACUACGUG
rnacentral:rRNA from 1 species